rnacentral:rRNA from 1 species
AAACCGUUCAGGGGUAAACCUGAGAAACCCAAAAGAUCGAAUGGGGAGAUUCAUCGUCAGCUGCUUGUUGGCUUGCGUGCGGCUCGCGAUGCUGCGACGUUUCGGCGUCGCGGCACGCGGUCGCUGCGUCAUGUCCGGCGCAGUCGGCGUGCACUUCUCCCCUAGUAGGACGUCGCGACCCGUUGGGUGUCUUGAUCUACGGCCCGCGAGGUUGCCUGCAGCGAGUGCGUUUUAUCGCGCGCUCGUUGCAGACCCGCGGUCGCCCGAUCGACUGCCCGGCGGUAAUGAUCGCUAAAUCGAAUGGUAACGAGUCGCAGCUUUUCAAGUGCGUUCAAUUUGAAUGGCUCGUCGGCAGAUUGGCCUCGCUCGGAUUAACGGACCUGGUUGCCGUUGUCGGGUGCUUGGCCGGUCGUUCCGCCGACGAUGUCCUCGAACGGGCUCGGCGCUGCGCGUGCAAGCGCGCAGCGCGCUACCGGUCAGCGACGCUACUGCUUUGGGUACUUUCAGGACCCGUCUUGAAACACGGACCAAGGAGUCUAACAUGUGCGCGAGUCAUUGGGACUUUUUGAUAAGCCUAAAGGCGCAAUGAAAGUGAAGGUCCGCUUUGACGCGCGACCGAGGGAGGAUGGCUCGUCGUUACGACGCGGAGCUCGCACUCCCGGGGCGUCUCGUGCUCAUUGCGAGCUGAGGCGCACCCAGAGCGUACACGUUGGGACCCGAAAGAUGGUGAACUAUGCCUGGUCAGGACGAAGUCAGGGGAAACCCUGAUGGAGGUCCGUAGCGAUUCUGACGUGCAAAUCGAUCGUCGGAACUGGGUAUAGGGGCGAAAGACUAAUCGAACCAUC